AUACGUAGGGGGCGAGCGUUGUCCGGAAUGAUUGGGCGUAAAGGGCGCGUAGGCGGCCCGGUAAGUCUGGAGUGAAAGUCCUGUUUUUAAGAUGGGAAUUGCUUUGGAUACUGUCGGGCUUGAGUGCAGGAGAGGUAAGUGGAAUUCCCAGUGUAGCGGUGAAAUGCGUAGAGAUUGGGAGGAACACCAGUGGCGAAGGCGACUUACUGGACUGUAACUGACGCUGAGGCGCGAAAGUGUGGGGAGCAAACAGGAUUAGAUACCCUGGUAGUCCACACCGUAAACGAUGAAUACUAGGUGUAGGGGGUAUCGACUCCCUCUGUGCCGCAGUUAACACAAUAAGUAUUCCGCCUGGGGAGUACGGCCGCAAGGUUGAAACUCAAAUGAAUUGACGGGG
rnacentral:rRNA from 1 species